CCUACGGGUGGCAGCAGUGAGGAAUAUUGGUCAAUGGCCGGGAGGCUGAACCCGCCAAGUCGCGUGAGGGAAGACGGCCCUACGGGUUGUCAACCUCUUUUGUCAGGGAGCAAGGUGCAGGUCGGGACCUGCUGUGAGAGUACCUGACGAAAAAGCAUCGGCUCACUCCGUGCCAGCAGCCGCGGUAAUACGGAGUAUUCGAGCGUUAUCCAGAUUUAUUUGGUUGAAAGGGUGCGCAGGCGGAGGCACAAGUCAGCGGUAAAAUCCCGGGGCUCAACCCCGCUCCGCCGUUGAACCUGUGUCCGUUGAGUGCGCGAAGGGUAGGCGGAAUGCGUGGUGUAGCGGUGAAAUGCAUAGAUAUCACGCAGAACUCCGAUCGCGAAGGCAGCCUACCGGCGCGCAACUAACGCUCAUGCACGAAAGCGUGGGUAUCGAACAGGAUUAGAUACCCCAGUAGUC
rnacentral:rRNA from 1 species